rnacentral:rRNA from 1 species
CUGGGUAGCUAUGUAGGGAAGGGAUAAACGCUGAAAGCAUCUAAGUGUGAAACCCACCUCAAGAUGAGAUUUCCCAUAACGCAAGUUAGUAAGAGCCCUGAGAGAAGAUCAGGUUGAUAGGUUAGGAGUGGAAGUGUGGUGACACAUGGAGCGGACUAAUACUAAUCGCUCGAGGACUUAUCCUA